rnacentral:tRNA from 1 species
GGAGGGGUGGCCGAGUGGUUGAAGGCGCACGCUUGGAAAGCGUGUUUACAGCAAUGUGACGAGGGUUCGAAUCCCUCUCCCUCCU